rnacentral:rRNA from 1 species
AUGGUGGAAUUUUCCAGCGGUGUGAAAGGAAUCGCCUUAAAUCUUGAGAAUGAGAAUGUAGGUAUUGUUGUCUUUGGUAGUGAUACCGCUAUUAAAGAAGGAGAUCUUGUCAAGCGCACUCGAUCUAUUGUGGAUGCUCCUGCGGGAAAGGCCAUGUUAGGCCGUGUGGUCGACGCCUUGGGAGUACCUAUGGAUGGAAAAGGGGCUCUAAGCAAUCACGAACGAAGACGUGUCGAAGUGAAAGCCCCAGGGAUUAUUGAACGUAAAUCUGUGCACGAACCCAUGCAAACAGGCUUAAAAGCAGUGGAUAGCCUAGUUCCUAUAGGCCGUGGUCAACGAGAACUUAUAAUCGGGGACAGACAAACUGGAAAAACUGCAAUAGCUAUCGAUACUAUAUUAAACCUGAAAAUCCUUGAUUUAGUUUCGAGUAAUAAACUAAUAAAACCUUAA